rnacentral:lncRNA from 1 species
AGCACCUCACCAUUCGGCCAGCCUCUCGCCCUCCUCUGCCCUAGCUCUCUCCAUCCUCCUCCGAUACACCCAUAUGGCACCGUUCACGCGCCCAGCCCCACAAACCACCGACUCCCCUAGAGUUACACCCGGAAGCUACGUCCCCCAGAGGGGCCUGGUGCUGAAGCGGGUGCUCAAAAGCCUCCUCUCGUGGCUGCCGCGCCGCCGCCGCCGCCACCGGGCCGGGCGCCCCCGUCACGGCAAGGGCGGCGCCGCGCCGCCGGGCCGUCGUGGCACGUACUAACCAUCAACCACCACCUCUCCUCAAGUGGAGUGUAUCCGUCAAUAUAUUCUGCAGGUACGGGCGUGCGUACCUACAUAGACGCCGUUGUCCGCAAGCCGUUAUUUUACUCAUCACUCUUUUUGGUUGGUUUGGUGCUCGGACAAUUUCUGUUCAUUUUCCGUCCAGUUUUCCUCAAGUUUUCUCGGUCCGUUUCGAUCUUGACGGACCAUGCAUAAACUUUUUCCUGGCGUUGAUAACUUGAUAUACAAAUUCAUUUCAGGUCAGGUCAAGUCGUACACGUCAAGCCCGGGCCGGCGUCACAACCGGCGACGACCGAGACUAGUCAGCGAGUCAAGCUAUCGGGGGUGCUCAGGAUGGUGGCAGAAAACCAAGUGUUGGAUCCGGCCUCCAGUCGUCAGUCAACUUAAUACUAUUGUUUCAUUGGUUAUUAUUUCGUUGCAUAAAAUACUGGAUACAUGUAGAUGGACCACACGCUUACUGACGGCAUCUUGCUGUUCGCGUGGCGCGUGCAUGUGUCUCUACGCUGUAAUAGGUCAUGCUGUUUUUUCAUAUAUUUUUCUUUUAUAUAACUCAUACCUUGUUUUUUCGUUCAUGCAUGAGGGCCCGUAUUUCAUCAUAUUUGCGGUGAAUUCUGGUUAUCCAUGUCGAUGUCAUCUUGUUUUUUGCGAGACACUUGAGCAUGCACAAAUAUGCAAAAUGGAGCCAUCACUAUGACCAUUAACUUCAGUGAAAUGAUCAUGCGUUGCUGAAAUGCCAAAGCUCAACGAACGCAGUCCUCAGAUUACCAUCGACGGACGGUCCAGAUCAUGCACAAACUCUUCUCUUGCAUGUUCACUUCUUGUCCCUCUAAAAAAAGAAGGUGAUUCUUGGCCCUCUAAGAAAUAAGUUCAGUUGGUGUCCUUUCAGGAAGAAAAGGGAAGGAAACAAAUGUGACAUUUAUUGGCAGGGCCUACUACUGGCCCGGUACUGAAGCCUAAUAGGCCGAACCGAUCACAAGAGUUAGAGCACCAAAUGGGAGGCAACAAGGCCCACUUAUUGUGGGUCAUACAGUAAUGUUGUCGCACCUUAAAGCAUUGAUUUUUUUUGCCAAUCAGUGCAAAGUGCUCCUAAUCCCCGCGUAAGGCGAGCGAGGGUGAGCAAACGUGCACCUCGGACAAUCCUAUAUGACGCCCACGUGGGUUAUAUAGUUUUUUAAGAAUCACAUGCGUCGUACAGCAGUUCAAACGGGCCGGCACACGUAACGGCUGUUCUGGUGCGUUUUUCUUGAUUAUUUUUUCCUUUCCUUUUCAUUUCAGAUCUUGAGAUUACUUCUGCUUUUUUGGUUUUUUAUUUUGCAUAUUUUUAUAGCUUUUGCAAUAUAUGGUGAACUUGUUUCCAAUUAUGAUGAAUAUAUUUUCAGUACAAGUACAUGGUGAACAAUUUUAAAAUAGAAAAUUAAUACUUUUUAUAAUAUACGGUGAACAAUUUUUUGAUAUUACUUUGAACAUUUUUCAAAUGUACGAUGGACUUUCAUAAUUAUAUGAUGAACGUUAUUCUAAACUCACUUAAUAUUUUUUAACAUAUGAUGAACCUUUUUUCAACAUGCACUGAAAUUUAGCAUAAAAUACAUACUAAUUUUUUUGUAAAAUAUAUUUCUAAUUUUUAAUAGUUUUUGAAAAUAUCUAGCUCCUAAAAAACAACAUCCAGUUUUAUUCGUGGAAACCCAACAAAAAAACUGAAAAUAAAAUAAAAGCAGGUUACGGGGAAAGUGAGCUGCCCAAUUAUUCUUGGCAUCGGUGAAAGUGGGCUGACGAUACACGGGUCAAAUGGGAAGAAACAAGAGCCAUCAAAAAAUGUUGCCACGCCUCCAAAGCAUUGGCUUGUUUUUAAUCCAUGCAAAUGUACCUAAUCUCCACGUAGGGCGAGUGAGUGCGAGCACACAAGCACCGGGACGCUCGCUUCGGAACCCCUCCAUGCGAGGAAUGGUAAACGGGCCAGCCCAGUGUGCACACACUUCAUGAUUUUUUUUCUUUAAAUAGUUUAUAAAGUCUAUGGGCUGAUUUUUCAUUAAAUACCUUCUAAAUAAAGAAUCUCGAGUUUUAAAAUAUAUUCAUUUUUUUGUGAAUUUAAUAUAUGAUCCUGAAAUUCAAAAUAUGUUCAUGUAUUUUAAAAAUAUUUGUUAUUUCGAAAACAUGUUCGAUUUUUUUAAAUAUUCUCGAAAUUUUAAAACGUUCAUGAAUCUGAAAAAUGUACUCAGAUUUCAAAAAUAAAAUCUGACAUUUUAAAAACUAUUCACGAACUGAAAAAUAAAAAAAUAAAAAAAGAAAAAACUGGUACACACGCACACGCACGUGUGUGCACACACACACACAAAUAAACACACUGGAUCAGGGAUACCCACACCCAUAAGUAAAACAAAACUGGUUCGCGGAGAACCUUCCCAAAACCAGUUUUUUUUUAUUGAGAAAAUCCCCAAACCAGAUAAACACAUGGCGAAAAAAUGCCCAAUUGGGCUGGCCCAUGUAGUGUUGAGGAGUGCGCGUUUGCUCUCUAGCUAACGCAGUGCAAUCUUCUAAAAAAAGAUAACGCCGGGGAAGGGUGCGCGUUUGCCAGGUUGGUGUGUAUGUGACUUGUACUAUGAUCCUUAUAAUAUAAAUGAGAAACGUAUUACCAUAAAAGAAAAUAGGGUGCACGUUUGCUGACUCCCCAUUGUCCUAUGAGCGGACUAGGAGCUCUAUUUUUUGGCGAAACAAAACAUUAGGUAAUUAAACUGUACUCCUACAUACUAAAAAAGUAAGUAAUCUGUACGACCUGAAUCAUAACAUGUUUUGCGAGUUCUCACAAAAGAUUUGAAUUUUUUUUUGCACAUUUAAGAAGACAAAAACCCCUAUAUUACAUUAUUAUUUCCUUAUUCCAAGCAGAAGGGCUCCGGGAGACAAAUUAUACAUGUGGUUAUUACUACACGCACACAACAUAACUCGCAAACGUGGAUACAUGGCAGCAUGCAGCAUCGGCAUGCAUUGGGAGCAAACUGAGA